rnacentral:rRNA from 1 species
AUGGCCAAGCAAGUAUAUGAGUGCAACUGGGUUCCUUCUCGCGUCACAGAGACUCAACUGAACAAUUUAGUCCUGAUCGGCGCUUUAGGCAGCAAAAACACCAUCCAUUGGAGGGUCCCUGGCAAAGAAUGCCCUCCCACACCUCAAGAAGGAGAGGUUGUCGUUUUCGUAGAUCACUUAGCCCGGGGCUUUAAGACGCCCGGUUCUAAAUUUUACCGGGAUGUUUUGGCCGACUUUCAACUCCGCCCACAAGACACUGGCCCCAACUCUGUUACAAACAUGUGUCACUUCCAAGUGCUCUCUGAGGUGUUCUUUCAAGAGGAGCCCACAGUUGAGUUGUUCAGAGACUGUUUCCACCUAAACCGUCGCACUGAGUUUACUGACGGUUCCAAUACGGAAUUGGAUGGUGUGGCGAUUCAAAAAAGGAAAGAGAUCACAUACCCUCAUGCCAAACUGCACAGUCAUCCCAAAGAGUGGAAUCAAACAUGGUUCUAUUGUAAAGACACCUCCCCUGGUGGUGAAAAUCCUUUGUCUGGCUUUCAUCCGGAGCGGCUUAGCAAUACACACCCCUUUCCGCAAAGGUUGACUGCCAAGGAGAGAAGCAAAUACGCUCCUCAACUAUCCAAGCUCAGAGCCUUCAUGGCCAACGGUUUAAUAGGGGUUGAUCUCGCUCGCUGUUGGAUAUCGUGGAGCAUACUGCCCCUUAGUCAACGCUCCGGUUUGAUGUGCGAGUAUACUGGCAGUGUUGAUGACCCACUGCGACAUGCUAACAUCCAGCUCACCGAUGAAGAAAUCACAGAGGCUGUGAAUAAAAUGCUGAAUGAACCGGAACACGUCUGUGCUCGAACCGGCCUGCUUCCCUUUUGUGCCACCAACAAACCGCCAACUGGUAAUGAUCCGUUUUGGAGCAAGAAACUUCCACAGGAAAAGCCAGAAAAAACAGACAAACCGGAACGACCAACCCGGCCAAAGACUAAAGUCAUGAAGCGGCCUGCUCAUAAGAAGAAAACCACUGCAUCUUCUGAUCCGGCCCCUGAUGAUGAUGUGGGUAAUCCAGAUGUUGAGGUAGAGCUUGAAUCACUUGGCUUAUUUUUCAUGCGCCUUAUUGAUGAUGACAUUUGUUAG